GAGCCUGAUAGGAGAGGAUUCUGGAUUUGUCGAAGUGUACACUUCCUUCUGUGCACUUAUCUGAACGGUUCGUGAAGAGCAUCCUUUCAAUCUAAGUAUGUAUCUCAAGGAGACUCACUCACCAAUGCCAGCACUUCAGCACACCCGCAGAAGGAGUGCAUGGACUCCAUGACCACAUUGCAAAGACUGACUUCUGUCUGCACAAGAAAUUCAGAGACCAGUAGUUCCCUCCCGGCAUGGACAGAAAAACUUCCCUGCAGCCUCUUUCCAUUUAGUCUGGUGAAAUUGAACGUAAACUGCCCUGAGGGCAAGCUGGAUCCCAGCUGGAAUCUCACCCUGUUGCUAGGCUUCGCCCAACAGCCCACUACUUUGUCUUCACAUCCAUACAAGGACUGUGUAAGGAAAAGAGCAGGGAAAGACUGGACCAUCACCCUCAAAUCAUUAGCAGGAAAUACAAAGCCU
rnacentral:lncRNA from 1 species